UUGGUUUCAGCUUUCUGGCAUUUCCCAAG
rnacentral:piRNA from 1 species